rnacentral:rRNA from 1 species
AGUGAACGCUGGCGGUAGGCCUAACACAUGCAAGUCGAACGGCAGCACAGUAAGAGCUUGCUCUUACGGGUGGCGAGUGGCGGACGGGUGAGGAAUACAUCGGAAUCUACUUUUUCGUGGGGGAUAACGUAGGGAAACUUACGCUAAUACCGCAUACGACCAACGGGUGAAAGCAGGGGAUCUUCGGACCUUGCCCGUUUGAAUGAGCUGAUUUCGGAUUAGCUAGUUGGCGGGGUAAAGGCCCACCAAGGCGACGAUCCGUAGCUGGUCUGAGAGGAUGAUCAGCCACACUGGAACUGAGACACGGUCCAGACUCCUACGGGAGGCAGCAGUGGGGAAUAUUGGACAAUGGGCGCAAGCCUGAUCCAGCCAUACCGCGUGGGUGAAGAAGGCCUUCGGGUUGUAAAGCCCUUUUGUUGGGAAAGAAAAGCAGCAGGUUAAUACCCCGCUGUUCUGACGGUACCCAAAGAAUAAGCACCGGCUAACUUCGUG